rnacentral:misc_RNA from 1 species
GUGAUACAUGUCUUGGACUAUGCCACUUCAAUCCUUAGAAAAUACUUUAACUUCCCCAAAUGUUUAGUCUAAAAGUGACUGAAUAAAUGCUGCCUAAGUUGAGAAAUCCCUUGAUGAUCAUUAUCUGUUAUGAUAAUAUCAUCAACAUAAACUAUUAGAUAAAUGCAUUUACCACGAUCAUUUUGAUGAUAAAACACUGGAUGAUCAUCUUCACUUUGAA